CUCCCUCCGCGCCGCCUCCCCGCCGCGCGCGCCGGCUCUUCCCCCCAGCGCGCUCCCUCCCUCCCGAUGGCCGUGGCCUGGCGCUGCCCGCCCUCUUUAUGCGAACGGAGGUGCCGGGCCUGGGGGGUGGGGGGGGGCAGCGGGGCCGCCUCCCCCGUGGCCGGGCUGAGGCUUUGUUCUGAAGAAAUACAGGCUGCUGGGUGAACAUGAUAGUCGGACUGACUUCUCCACUGACAUUUAUAAACCUCCUUUAUGAAGCAUUUAUAUGAAACACUUCGUAAUCCACCAAUCCUGCCGCUCACUAUAAUCAGAGAGAGGGAUUUUUCUUCUAGGCGAAGGCAGCUGAAGACAUUCCACACAUCUGCCAUCAACACAUGUAUGUGCGAUCUCCACAAUGGAGUUACUCCUUAUUACUUCUGUGGCAGCAUACUGAGAGUCGCCAUGGUUGGGGUCCUGUACUGAGAGUAUUAGCAAGAUGGGUGCUGAGGCGCUGGCACAGGGUGCCCAGAGAAGCUGUGGCUGCCCCAUCUCUGGCAGUGUUCAAGGCCAGGUUGGACGGGGCUUGGAGCAACCUGGUCCAAUGGAAGGUGUCCCUGCUCACGGCAGGGGCUUGGAACUGAUUGAGCUUUAAGGUCCUUUCCAACCCAGCUUCUCUGGGCAACCUGUUCAAAUGUAUCACCAACCUCACAGUAAAGAAUUUCUUCCUAAUAGCUAA